UGGUCAGGGCCCAAAGCGGACAAUAUCGUGCUACGGUGGUGGAGCGGGCCCGGGAAGUGGUCCCUCCCGGGCCGGGAUGUGACAAUCAAGCUCGUGAGGCUGUGAGAAGCACAGGGGUACCAUUUUCAGCUUGUAGAUGUGUUGGUGAGGUUCCAAGGAGCUUGGGAGUGCAUCGUUGGACGGAAUUGGACGUCGGAUUAGCCUGGUUCGAGUUUGACCGGUUUUGGUAAUUGGUGACAGGUGACACGUAUCCCGAGGACGAGCGUGCACACGCGAGGCAGGGGGGCUACGACCCUUCCACGUACCAGUGAGUGGGCUUUUGAUUUCCGUAUAUACCUAUAUACAUAUAAUUCCCAGAAAUUAGUAUAAAUGCUUAUUAUUUGCAUGCCAUUCCUUUUAUGUUAUUGGUUGAUAUGCAUGAUUGUGGCAUAUAAGUUGAUUUAUAUAUUCAUUCAUAUGUCAUAUAUAUAUGUUGGUGCUGUGGAGGCAUAGGUAAGUGCCAGGUAAGCGUUAUUUAACCCUUGCAUUAAAUAGUGGUUAGAGAUGAUUAGAGAGCUCAUAACCUGCA